UACGUAGGGGGCAAGCGUUGUUCGGAAUCACUGGGCGUAAAGCGUGCGCAGGCGGUUCUGCAAGUCAGAUGUGAAAUCCCCGGGCUUAACCUGGGAACUGCGUUUGAAACUACGGAGCUCGAGUGCGGCAGAGGGGGGUGGAAUUCCGCGUGUAGCAGUGAAAUGCGUAGAUAUGUGGAGGAACACCGAUGGCGAAGGCAGCCCCCUGGGUCAACACUGACGCUCAUGCACGAAAGCGUGGGGAGCAAACAGG
rnacentral:rRNA from 1 species